ensembl:lncRNA
UGCGUUAUCCUGCCUACUUCUGAGGGUUUGGGGAAGUACCUCCAUCCUUUUCACCGAUCCCCGCACGAUGGGCUGAUGCUAGCACUCUCUCUGUUGUCGCAUGGCAGGUCUGUGCCCAGCUGGCUACUACUGUGGAGGAGGAGCCACUGAUGCCAUUCCACAUAGGACACCUGGGUUCCCGCUCAGUGGGCCCUGCCCUCUUGGGCACUAUUGUCCAGAGGGCACUCAUGUCCCAGUAGCCUGCCCAGUAGGCACCCUGAACAACGCCACAGGUGGUACCUCCCCAGAGAGCUGUGUGCCGUGCUAUCCUGGGUCUUUCUGCGCCAGUGCUGGUUUGAGUUCUCCAACGGGACCUUGUACUGAGGGGUUCUACUGCCCAGCAGACUUCAGCUCCUUCAGCCCCACAGCAUUCCUCUGCCCUAAGGGUCACUUCUGCCCUUUGGGAGCGGCCCACCCAAUGCCCUGCCCUGCUGGAGAAUACCAGCCGACCAGGGGCUCUGCGUCCUGCGUUCCGUGCCGGAGAGGAUCCUACUGCCAGGAGGCAGUGGCAGGAGACCCCAAGCGCUGCCCACCUCAUGCUUACUGUCCUACAGGUAUGCUGAAAUUGGGGUACCAGGUAUGCCAGGGACUGAAACCUCGUGUGCUUUGCUGUCGUCCCAGAGCGGCACAAAGCUAGGGUGCGUCUUCCUGUAGGCUGGAUGAUGAUGAAGUGGCAAUGGGUCGAUAUGGCUCAGCACUGCUUUGCUCCUUUGGAAUCAUUUGUUACUCUUUGAUAUGGUUAUAAAGCCUUCUCGUCGGAUCACAGUGGUCUUCCUGGGAGUUCUUAUUUUCUCUCCCGUCUCCCUUUCAGGCACACAGGUUCCUCACCCAUGUCCAGAAGGCACCUUCACUCUUUCAAAUAUGACUGGUCUCUGGAACGAGAAGGAAUGCUUAGCUUGCUUACCUGGUCACUACUGCAGGUCAUGAUUCAGUUCAGUCUGGCGUUUUUUCCUUUUUGUUUUAAGCAGUUGGCCAUCCUUGUUUUUGCAGUGACAAGUGGAUGCAAAGUUCCUCCUAGCUUCUUUAUCGCAUCUCUGCCAUGCAGAGGAAGUAGAUUUAAGCCCAGACGCAGCUUUCGGAUGUGGAGGUGUUGAUCUGUGAAUUCGCAGAAGCAUCUUGAAACAGUCUGAUGUCAUUCUCAUGAUACAAAGAAAUGUCUGAAGCAGGUAGCGUUUGUGAAAGUGUGAAAGUAACCCAGAAACUCAAGUCCAACGGGAAGUCAUACGCAAUUUAUUCUGAAGCAGUUUGCCCAUGUUCAUGGAAUUUGAGCUCAGAAGCGCCUGGCUCUUUCCAAGUCAUCUGUGUGUUUUUUAUAAGGGGAAGAGGUGAAUCUAUUUUCUCUCUCGUAUCUGUGUAAGAAGUUCUCAUUUUUUGUCACUGACUUUGGGGAUCAUUGCGUUAACACACCUGCGCUGCUUCUGCACCAGACAACGUUAGCAGCAGUUCUUAUAUGAAUUCCUACUGUUCUCUCUGCUCCAGGCAUGGACGACUGGAGGGAAAGUGUGCUGCUGGGUACUUCUGCCUUGCCGGGAGCUCUCAGUCUACUCCGCAGGGCCACAGUUUUCCCUGGAGCUUCCUGUCUGAGUGCCGCUGGGGGCAGGUGUGUGCAGGGCUGUGCCCUGCAGGUAAGUGAGAAUCUCAGCGAUAUGUGCAGUGUAGAAUAGUGAGUAGCUUUUAACCAGCUGGACAUUUCAAAAAGUGAGCAUCUGUUACCUUGCCUAAUCUGUUGUGACCCCUGCUUUGAAGUUGCCGUUGCUCAGUGGCUUCUUCUGUUUUUAUAUCUUCUGAAGAAAGAGAUGUAGCUGGCCAAAAACGCCACCUUGAAUUUGCAGUGCUAGACUGCUAGUCCAGAAAAGUCUGAAGGCUUCUCCUUUGGCUCUCUGUAUGCACGCCAUCCCAACAGCUGUGCUGGUGUUCAUCCUACAACAAAAGGAGACUCUUGCUGAGUCGUAUUUGCCAUCAGAGGGCUCGUGUGUUUUACUUUUUCUGUCUCUUCCCGCAUCCUUUUCUGUAGGUUUCUAUUGCCAGGAGGGCUCUGAGGUGCCCGUACCAUGUCCUGCCAAUACCAUUAGAAACAUCCCAGGGGCAAAGCAGAGAGAAGACUGCCUGCCCUGUCCGCCAGGCCACUGGUGCAAAGCAGGUUGGGACUGUGUGGGGAAUGGUGAGGACAGGGUAUGGGAGCUGUUUUUCAGGGGUGUAGUGCACGACCCUGGCUCUGGUCAGACUGGCUCCGGUAUCGAAUGUUGCAGUGUGGAACGGUUCUUGCAGUAGGACGCGUUGCCUCUACUGGUGAUUACCAGAGUCUGCGGAGAAAAGAGUCGCGUUAAAGCUCUUCGUACGAUACGCUUGCAUAACAAAGUUUGGAAACGUAGGAGAGCUUGAGAAUAAAGCCAGCCUCCAAAUAUCCCUGUGUCGCGUC